UUGAAAGUUGGGCAUGCGCAGUACGGAACACAGACGGCUCACUGGAGGGAACGUUACAGGUGCGUAAUUAAGCUGCCUCGUCCGAGACGGUUUGAAUUCGUAUUUCAUUGCAGGUUAAGUUGUAUCGAAUAUCUCAGUUUUUUUAGUCCAAUACAUUUUAAAUAUUAUAUUUAAUAUUAUUUGUUGUGUACACUGUUGCAGCCGAGCACAAGCUAACGUUAGCUAGCUAUCUUGCUAGCUAACGUUAGCUAACGUUAUUUAACUUGCUAGCUAAAACUGCUAACAGCAUGGACGAACUUGAUGACGUCACGGUGUCGACUUUAAGAGGUAACGUAGUCAAAUAUACAUUUUUAACGUGGUUAUUAAUUUUUCGUCAUAUUUAAUAUGCACCAGUAACACCAAGAAAAAUCCCUUGUAAGUAAAAACCUACUUUGCAAUACUUAUGAUUCAUCAGAGAGGUUAAGAUCAGCUAAAUUUAAACAGAUUAAGACUUGCAGUCCUCUCUAUAAAAUCGGUAGUAACUCUUAAUUCUGAACAGAUUUGAAUGGAAUGGUUUUAUUAUAAAUUGGAUAAAUUUAACUUUAUACUGGUUACGUGUUUCAAUUAAAUCCAGUUACUGGGGUGGAUCUACUCUGUUCUAUUAUACUAAAACAUUCGGAAUAACCACAACUUAAAAUAUAAAUUAUUUAGAAUGUAUGCUUUUAUGAGUUUCUAAAAAAUGUAGAUUGCUAUAUACAUUCAGUAAAUUUGAAUUAAAAUUGCUUCAGAAUUAAGAGAGUUACGACUGAUUAAAAUGUUUAAUUUACCACUCUGAUGUGAUGCAUAAUCCACUGAGGUAUGUCAUUUCUUUAUCUAUUGUUAUAUCAUGUGUAUUUACAUUUUUUGAUGAUGAAGUAAGUUUAUUCAUUUUCUGCUUGUUUAGUAAGUAUUUAUAUCCAACACCAUAAGGCAAUCACUAAACCUACCUUCAUUAUCACUAAAAGGAGAAUAUUAACACAAACUAUUUAGGAUUAUUGUUAUAACCUUAGUGGAGUUGUCAAUGCUGCAUCACAAUUUGUGUUAAGACAGUAUAAAUUAAAAGUUGCUUUUACAAAUACUUAAUUAUAUUUUAUUUUACAGGAAACUGUAGACUCAAAAUCAACGAGCAGUUCUACUUCUAUGAUUGGGUCACCCCUAUCUCAGACAUCCACUCAAGUAAAAAGAUGUCCUGCAAAGCACACAACACCUGAAAAUGUUGUUGAGUUAUCCUUCCCAGAAUAUGUAUUGCACACUGACACCAAACUAGAGCAAUGCCCAAAAACAAUAUUUUGAGUUGGCGAGGGCCGGCGAAGAGAGAAACUGCCAAAUGUCAAAGGACCUCAGAUGUCGGCUCAUCCGAAACACCAUGACCAGUAUGAUCGCAAUCCUGAGGGCAACGGGGGAUAGAGACAGAUACCCGUCAAAGCCAGAAAUAACAGCUAUGGCAAAGCGAACAGUGCUGUACUACCCCAUGCUGCAGGACCGAGACCUGAGCAGCAAGUUACUGUGUACUCACAGCUAUACAAAAGAUUGAAAAAUUUGAGAUCACCCCAAAAGACCAAUCCAAAGAGGCGCCGACUCGAGGAGCCAAAGUGCCAACCUGACUGACCCAGAUGAAUUUGAUUCAAGUGACUCAACAGUCAUUCUGAUCUCCCCUCAAAAGGGGGGCAGCAUUCAAGCAUUCAAGACUUCCCUUCUGAAGGGAGUAGCACCCCAGACUCGGGCAGCAAUGCCAGAUAUGCCCGCAUCUUUGCGUAAG
ensembl:lncRNA